AAUGAACGCAUAGUGAGGGCAGUA
rnacentral:piRNA from 1 species